GAUGAACGCUGGUGGCGUGCCUAACACAUGCAAGUCGAGCGAUUCUCUUCGGAGAAGAGCGGCGGACGGGUGAGUAACGCGUGGGUAACCUGCCCUGUACACACGGAUAACAUACCGAAAGGUAUGCUAAUACGAGAUAACAUGCUUUUAUCGCAUGGUAGAAGUAUCAAAGCUUUUGCGGUACAGGAUGGACCCGCGUCUGAUUAGCUAGUUGGUGAGGUAACGGCUCACCAAGGCGACGAUCAGUAGCCGACCUGAGAGGGUGAUCGGCCACAUUGGAACUGAGGCACGGUCCAAACUCCUACGGGAGGCAGCAGUGGGGAAUAUUGCACAAUGGGCGAAAGCCUGAUGCAGCAACGCCGCGUGAGCGAUGAAGGCCUUCGGGUCGUAAAGCUCUGUCCUCAAGGAAGAUAAUGACGGUACUUGAGGAGGAAGCCCCGGCUAACUACGUG
rnacentral:rRNA from 1 species